UGGCGGCAGGCUUAACACAUGCAAGUCGAGCGGUAGCAGAUCUAGCUUGCUAGAUGCUGACGAGCGGCGGACGGGUGAGUAACGCGUAGGAACCUGCCCAGUAGUGGGGGAUAGCCCGGGGGAAACUCGGAUUAAUACCGCAUACGCUCUACGGAGGAAAGAGGGGGCUUCGGCUCUCGCUAUUGGAUGGGCCUGCGUGAGAUUAGCUAGUUGGUGAGGUAAUGGCUCACCAAGGCGACGAUCUCUAGCUGGUCUGAGAGGAUGAUCAGCCACACUGGGACUGAGACACGGCCCAGACUCCUACGGGAGGCAGCAGUGGGGAAUAUUGCACAAUGGGCGCAAGCCUGAUGCAGCCAUGCCGCGUGUGUGAAUAAGGCUUUCGGGUUGUAAAGCACUUUCAGUGGGGAGGAAGGCCUCGUAGUUAAUAGCUGCGAGGAUUGACGUUACCCACAGAAGAAGCACCGGCUAACUCCGUG
rnacentral:rRNA from 1 species